rnacentral:ncRNA from 2 species
UUUAUUAAUUAUGAAUCGGGUCCUGAUUUAUGGACUAAAAGGGAACCGUGUGAAAAUCACGGGCUGACGCGCAACUGUAACUCUGCUCCGAUAAUACCGGAGAAGUGUUUUUGGCAAAAAAACCACUGUUCUGCAUUAUGUAGAACGGGAAGGUAGCCGAAAAUCAGAGAAGCCAGGAAACCUGCCUGAUUCAUUUGAUUGCU